AAUGAACGCUGGCGGCGUGCCUAAUACAUGCAAGUCGAGCGAACGGACGAGAAGCUUGCUUUUCUGAUGUUAGCGGCGGACGGGUGAGUAACACGUGGAUAACCUACCUAUAAGACUGGGAUAAUUUCGGGAAACAGGAGCUAAUAACGGAUAAUAUUUUGAACCGCAUGAAUCAAAAGUUAAAGACGGUCUUGCUGUCACUAAUAGACGGAUCCGCGCUGCAUUAGUUAGUUGGUAAGGUAACGGCGUACCAAGGCAACGAUGCAUAGCCGACCUGAGAGGGUGAUCGGCCACACUGGAACUGAGACACGGUCCAGACUCCUACGGGAGGCAGCAGUAGGGAAUCUUCCGCAAUGGGCGAAAGCCUGACGGGGCAACGCCGCGUGAGUGAUGAAGGUCUUCGGAUCGUAAAACUCUGUUAUUAGGGAAGAACAUAUGUGUAAGUAACUGUGCACAUCUUGACGGUACCUAAUCAGAAAGCCACGGCUAACUACGUG
rnacentral:rRNA from 1 species